rnacentral:misc_RNA from 1 species
UCACUCAAAGAGGACACUAUUGUAAGGGUCUCAUAAGAAACCAAACCUUGACCGAAAUAUUAUCUACAAGCUCUGUGUGCGUGCGUGUGUGUGUGCAUGUGUGUGUUUGUGGGCGCGACAACAUCUCCCCUCGUCAUUUAUAUCAGAUUCUUUCGAUGGAUGGAGAAGUCUCAACAGUUGCCUCAGCUUGAGUUGUCUUGGGCAGUUCCUCAGAGUAAACACUCUGUUGAGUUUGCUUGUUGCUGUCCUUUGUCGCCUGAACUCUACUCUUGUAGCGGACAGCUUCCUGUUUAUAGUCAACUAGCCUCGCAGCACAAUGAACCUCGACCCUCCACACUGUGCUUUGCUAAUAGAUGGAUAAUAAUCCAGUUUUGAAGAAAGUGGACAAAAUAUAUGAUGAAUGAAUAUUGUUGGACGAUGUAUAAAUAUUUCUUCAUAUGGCUGCUGAAUUUUAAAAUAUGUGGAGGCGAAUAUACAGAAGGGCCUACAUUUAUAUUUCCACAAAAUGCUGAUGACAUAAUAAUCGUGGCGGAGAACACGGAGCUUCGGAUACCGUUUGCAAUGGAUGGUCUGGACAACAUCCAGCAGACCAGAGACGUGGUGCUGACCGUGGAGAAAGUAAGCAUCAACAACACAAAUGAAAGACUGUGUACAAUCUUCUACACACAACAAACAAGUCCUACUUAGUGUCAGAUUCCAGCCUCCAUUGCAGGUCCGUGGUGGGGCCUGUGCCAUUGUUGUUCGCGAUGAACGUCUCUCGUCAGGAUGUUGGCACGAGGGUGAUGUGGAGGGCGAUAUGGCUGCAGGGCACUAACAAAACCUUUCUGUUGAACAUCACGUACCCAACAGAAAUCACCAGCCUGAAGUUUCACCACUCGCCAUCAGCAGCAACAGUCACUGUUGACCAGAAUUCGUCGGCAGUUGUCAGCUGCUCGUGGAACCAUGGUAACCCACCCCAGACGGUCCGUCUGCUGGACGGAAGGCGACAGGUGCUGAAUAUAUCUGAUCGCUACUCCGCUAUCAGCUACCUGGAGCACACCUGGCGGUCAGUGACCUGUGACGAUGCUGGUGUCUUCACGUGCGAGGCUGCAGGUGCUGACGUCAACAGGAGCGUGAUGCUGUUAGUCCGUUGUAAACCAGAAUUCGAGGCUGACAACCAACAGAAACAUUUCUCCAUCAAAGAGCUAACCCAGGCUGCAAGACUUUAUUUUCAUGUUAGAAUCCAUUCCCUAAACCUAACAGACUGUCAGAUGGAGAAAAUAUCGUUGGUCUCGGAUGUUACUGGAAGCUUCUACAGGACAAACGAAACCUUCUUGUGUUCUUUAAGCGGACAUCCUCCUGAUUGCACUCUGACCCUGGAACUUUUUCAAAUCAACGACACCGACAAUGGAUUAUGGCGCCUCCAGAUCACCAACGACUUUGGAACAUCAACCGUUGAGUUCACCAUCAUCGUGAUCAAGGGUACGUAACUAGUCAUCGUGAUCAAGGGUACGUAACUAGUCAUCGUGAUUAAGGGUACGUAAGUAGUCAUCGUGGUCAAGGGUACGUAACUAGUCAUCGUGAUCAAGGGUACGUAACUAGUCAUCGUGGUCAAGGGUUCGUAACUAGUUCGCACCAAUCCGGAUCAAUGAAUGGUUUUGAUCGAUCCUAGGCAGACGUACUUCCCUGCACUCUGGAGACCCACAACUUUUAUUUUGCAUAACGGUUAAUUAACUGUAUUAAAGUGGUAUGACGAAUAAUAUUUAAGUAAUGUACUUUCAGACAGACAGCAGUCCAUCUAUACACAUCUGUGUUAUUUCCUUUCGUUUAAAAAUGUUGGGUUUAAGAAAUCAACAUAUUCUAUUUAAAUGUUCACCGAGAAGGAAGGUUUCACACAUUGUGUGUGUGGGUGUGUACCUUACAGUGAACUUUACAAGAGGUCAAGUCAACACGGACAACUCUCAAGUCUUGAAGGAAGCAAAUGUGAGGGAAAAGCCAUGAAGUGUUCGGGAGGAUAUAAAUAAAUUUCAAUAGUAACUUGAUAUAAAUAAAUUUCAAUAGUAACCUGGAGUGGUGAAGUGGCCGCAAAAUAUACCGCAGUGACAGGGACAAUAUUGCGCUAGUGAAAAGAGGGCGGUCUGGGUUCAUAUUUAGCGGUCCGCAGACCCCACCCUCUCACGAUAUAACUAAAAAGCUAAUAAUAAAUCUGAUGAUGUGAUUCAUUAUUCAGACUCAUUUCAUGACAUGAUACUGUUGUUAUUGCAGCUGUUCUAUGUGGAUCUGAUGGUUAAUUUUACGGAACAUCAGCGAGAGUCGGCCGUUUGACAAAGUCGUUGGUCAGUCUGACUACUAUAUUCACCCCCAGGUCAUCUGAACAGUAGGGGUCACUGAGUGGCGAGGUUAUUUCCUUAUGUCGACACCAGUGGCGGUAAUUUGAAGCCUUAAAUAUAGGGAACAUCAUCGUGGCAGCUGAAUACUGACAAUCCCGUCAGUCGGUUGGACUCCAUCUUUGUAAAGGGAAGUUCCUCGUGAAUAGGGACAGUUCCGAGGGCUGAAGUAAGGAUCAGUUCCGAGAGGUUUAGUGUGUGGGCACAUCUGAAUAAGUCAAAACAUCUGUUCUAUGUAGAUGUAGAAUCAGUUUCUAAGAGAUUAGGGUAGAAAAUCUGUCUCCAUAAGUGUUAGUAGGCUAGGGGCAGUGGUGUUGAUAGGUGACAGGUUUUGAUAGGUUAGAAUCAAACUGUACAAGACCUAAAGGACUUGGGAAGCAGUCUUUAUAGGGCAUAAAAUGCUAAAGAAAACAGUCUCUACAAGCUCAGGUUGGCUAGGUUAUACCUCCACAAAGCCUAGUAGGCUAGACACCCAUUCACCAUAGGCACUACUUGGCAACAUCACUUUGUCGCGUGCUUAGGUGGUUGGAGGAGACCUCUCUCUCUCUUCAGAUUCAGAAAGUGAGAAAAUCUCGCUAGAGCACAACAUUUUGGUUGUCAUCAAAAGACUGUAGGCCUGCAAGCCAAAUAAUCGUUUGACUUCAUCGAAGAUAAGACAAUGAUUGAGCAUCGAUGUGUCUCAGCGAUGACCCUCGUUCGACCAUUGCGCCCUCGUUCACUUACUUGUACAUUACUUGUUCUGCAGCUGCUCCUAGAAAGUACAGCCCAAGCCCUCGUUUUCGUGUUCCCCAACCACUCUGAUGACGUCAUCACAGUUCCAGAAAACACCGAGAUUCGAAUACCGUUUGGUCUUGAGGGUCUGGAGAGUCUUCAGCAAAGUCAGCUCAUUAUAAGUGUGUACAACUCAACAGGGCAAAGUAUGCUGAAGAUAUGUUCGAUCAUUUAUUACUCGAAUAACAGGUCCUACAUGAUUUCUGACGAGAGGGGCAUCUGUGUCAACCACACCGGCCCAGUGCCUCUCAUGUUCAGGACCAGGGUGUCGCGCUGGGAUGACAAGAAUACACUUGUCUGGCAAGUGAUCGGAGUGAAAGAUCUCGAAAAAGCUUUGAGGCUCGAAGUCACGUAUCCAGCGACAGUAGUUAGCCUUACCUUCACCCAUGAACCAUCAGCGAAUACUUCAAUCGUUGAGGAGGGGUCAACUUCGGUCCAGCUGCUCUGUUUGUGGGUCAACGGCAACCCUCCCUCUGCUGCCCGUCUUCUGGACCGAGAGAGACAGGUGUUAACACAACCUGACCACGGCACAACCAAUGACAACCUUACGUACAGACUGACGUACAGUCCCACGAAAAUCAACUGCAACAGCUCCGGGGUCAUCACGUGCGAGGUUGUAGGGGCAGAGGUCAACAGAAGCGUUACACUCUUGGUCAGAUGCCCACCGGAAUUCCAAGCAGUCAAUGGCACUCCAAUUAAGUUCGACAACCGGAACAGAUCCGUGCGAAUAGAAUACAGAGUGCGAGCCCACACCAAUGUCAUCGAGAAAUGUGAAGUCAAGAAACUUCAAUCAACCUCCCAGAAAGUCCUGGCCUUCCUGCUGCCAAAGACUGCCUUCAGGUGCCUCCUGACCGGCCAGCCUCCGGACCUGAUGCUGACCGUUGUCAUGGACGACAUGAAUUAUGUCAUUGAAGGGGCAGAACAACUGUGGCGACUGGAGCUGACCAAUGACAAAGGGACAGGAAGUGUGGAGUUCUCUCUGCCCAUUGUGGACGGCAAGGAAAGCGUCUUUUCAGCACACAGUUGCAGCAUGUCUCCCGAGUUUAUCCAGUGACUGAUCAGGAAUGUACUUUUGUAAUCUCGGUGGAGCUUCGACUCAAAAUCCGGUCGUCAUGAGUACUUACAGGACACUUAACAACACUGGACGGUACAGAAUGUUAUUUGAAGUGCGAACUGUUUGGAUCUAUUGGUUGGAGUCUACGCCGCCCGCUUCACUUGUUUCGGCAGCGACCUUGAGCUACAGUGAGUAAACUAAAGCGAUGAUCAUCCUCUUGCAGCUUUAUUUGAUAACAUUUAUUCAUAUUCUCAAGGUUACUAAAUAUCUUCCCAGUAUUCUCCUGAUGUCACUGACCUUAUUCUCUGGAGUCGUUACCGUUACAUUCACAGUGAUCUCCCUUUACUGCCUGAACAGCUAGUGUUUACAGUUGACACUGUUCUUCUUUCUACAUCUUUGUUACUAUGGGAUUUGUGAUUUAAUUUUACAUAUUUGCUACUUUUUUAAACUUGAUAUACGCUUUUGUUAUUUUUUUGUUUUUAAAUUUUGUUACAAUUUUUUAAAAUCUUGUUUUGAGUCCGCCUUUGGCUGAGAUAUUGCGCUUUAUAAAUUCUUCUUGUUCUUGUUGUUCUUCUAUUAUUAUUAUAAAACAUUCCGAAUAGAUGCAUAGACUUGAAACCAUUCAAACAAUCCAGUAAUCGAAAAUAUAGCGAGGAUUGGUCUUGUCUCCGAAGGCUCAAUUUUACUGCAAAUUUUGCUAUAGUUUACGAUCAUAAUAAACAAGUUUAAGAGCCAUUUUUAAAAGGGAUAUAACUUUGACUUUGUCAUCCUAUACUUCUUUUCCGAAACUUAUAUACAAAAACUGAGUUGCUAUUAGUUAGUCACUUGCUAGUCUGUUGCUAUGCCUCGCCGCCCUGGUUGGACUGAAGUUACGCCUUUACUCCGGACUAAAAUUCGCUUAGUGUUUAGCAGCCGUAAAAUUAGUCUGGUACUAUACCCUUGCUACAUCCUUACUAAGGCUCUAUGCCCGCAUAGUGUGACCGCACCCAGACUCGUGCAUGCAGUCAUGAGUAUAUUGUUUUAUUUUGCAAUAAAGCGAUGGUGUUUAAGAAUUAUUAUGCUCAGAUUGUGUGCAGCGUAUAGCAAGAUUGACAUUAUUA